GCUUAUCUCCAUUCAAUUUGUCCAACUAGGAGAGAUUCUUUCCAGCAUCAUCUGUCAGGAAGUAACAAUUUGAUGCAACCUGAGGUCAAUCAUUCUCUCUGAGAAAAUUAAGCUCGGCAUUAUGACCUUUGAAGAGAUAGCAUUUUCCUUCAAAUUAUGACAUGAUGACCAAAGCAGGAUGUGAGGCCUCAGGAAGAUAUCUGUGAAAUAACUAAAUAACUAACACAGUGUGACACCCUAAUGUUACUGAAGAUCUAGAUCAUGCUUGAGAAGUAUAUU